rnacentral:rRNA from 1 species
AGAGUUUGAUCAUGGCUCAGAUUGAACGCUGGCGGCAGGCCUAACACAUGCAAGUCGAGCGGUAGCACAGAGAGCUUGCUCUCGGGUGACGAGCGGCGGACGGGUGAGUAAUGUCUGGGAAACUGCCUGAUGGAGGGGGAUAACUACUGGAAACGGUAGCUAAUACCGCAUAACGUCGCAAGACCAAAGUGGGGGACCUUCGGGCCUCAUGCCAUCAGAUGUGCCCAGAUGGGAUUAGCUAGUAGGUGGGGUAACGGCUCACCUAGGCGACGAUCCCUAGCUGGUCUGAGAGGAUGACCAGCCACACUGGAACUGAGACACGGUCCAGACUCCUACGGGAGGCAGCAGUGGGGAAUAUUGCACAAUGGGCGCAAGCCUGAUGCAGCCAUGCCGCGUGUGUGAAGAAGGCCUUCGGGUUGUAAAGCACUUUCAGCGGGGAGGAAGGCGUUAAGGUUAAUAACCUUGGCGAUUGACGUUACCCGCAGAAGAAGCACCGGCUAACUCCGUGCCAGCAGCCGCGGUAAUACGGAGGGUGCAAGCGUUAAUCGGAAUUACUGGGCGUAAAGCGCACGCAGGCGGUCUGUCAAGUCGGAUGUGAAAUCCCCGGGCUCAACCUGGGAACUGCAUUCGAAACUGGCAGGCUAGAGUCUUGUAGAGGGGGGUAGAAUUCCAGGUGUAGCGGUGAAAUGCGUAGAGAUCUGGAGGAAUACCGGUGGCGAAGGCGGCCCCCUGGACAAAGACUGACGCUCAGGUGCGAAAGCGUGGGGAGCAAACAGGAUUAGAUACCCUGGUAGUCCACGCCGUAAACGAUGUCGAUUUGGAGGUUGUGCCCUUGAGGCGUGGCUUCCGGAGCUAACGCGUUAAAUCGACCGCCUGGGGAGUACGGCCGCAAGGUUAAAACUCAAAUGAAUUGACGGGGGCCCGCACAAGCGGUGGAGCAUGUGGUUUAAUUCGAUGCAACGCGAAGAACCUUACCUGGUCUUGACAUCCACAGAACUUUGCAGAGAUGGUUUGGUGCCUUCGGGAACUGUGAGACAGGUGCUGCAUGGCUGUCGUCAGCUCGUGUUGUGAAAUGUUGGGUUAAGUCCCGCAACGAGCGCAACCCUUAUCCUUUGUUGCCAGCGGUUCGGCCGGGAACUCAAAGGAGACUGCCAGUGAUAAACUGGAGGAAGGUGGGGAUGACGUCAAGUCAUCAUGGCCCUUACGACCAGGGCUACACACGUGCUACAAUGGCAUAUACAAAGAGAAGCGACCUCGCGAGAGCAAGCGGACCUCAUAAAGUAUGUCGUAGUCCGGAUUGGAGUCUGCAACUCGACUCCAUGAAGUCGGAAUCGCUAGUAAUCGUAGAUCAGAAUGCUACGGUGAAUACGUUCCCGGGCCUUGUACACACCGCCCGUCACACCAUGGGAGUGGGUUGCAAAAGAAGUAGGUAGCUUAACCUUCGGGAGGGCGCUUACCACUUUGUGAUUCAUGACUGGGGUGAAGUCGUAACAAGGUAACCGUAGGGGAACCUGCGGUUGGAUCACCU